rnacentral:rRNA from 1 species
AUCGAACGCUGGCGGCAGGCCUAACACAUGCAAGUCGAACGAGUGGCGGACGGGUGAGUAAUGUCUGGGAAACUCCCUGAUGGUGGGGGAUAACUACUGGAAACGGUAGCUAAUCCCGCAUACCAUCGGAUGUGCCCAGAUGGGUUUCGCUUGUUGGUGGGGUAACGGCUCACCAAGGCGAAGAUCCCUAGCUGGUCUGAGAGGAUGACGAGCCACACUGGAACUGAGAAACGGUACAGACUCCUACGUGAGGCAGCAGGGGGGAAUAGGGGACAAUGGGCGAAAGCCGGAUGCAGCCCUGACGCGUGUAUGAAGAAGGCCUUAGGGUUUUAAAGUACUUUCAGCGGGGAGGCGUUAGCCGCAGAAGAAGCACCGGCUAACUCCGUGCCAGCAGCCGCGGUAAUAC